rnacentral:rRNA from 1 species
AGAGUUUGAUCAUGGCUCAGAUUGAACGCUGGCGGCGUGCUUAACACAUGCAAGUCGAGCGGUAAACGCGGGAGCAAUCCUGGCGACGAGCGGCGAACGGGUGAGUAAUGCUUUCGGAAUCUACCCAGUAGUGGGGAAUAACCAACCGAAAGGUUGGCUAAUACCGCAUACGUCCUGAGGGAGAAAGCGGGGGAUCGUAAGGACCUUGCGCUUAUUGGAUGAGCCGAAGUCGGAUUAGCUAGUUGGUAGGGUAACGGCCUACCAAGGCGACAAUCCGUAGCUGGUCUGAGAGGACGACCAGCCACACUGGGACUGAGACACGGCCCAGACUCCUACGGGAGGCAGCAGUGGGGAAUAUUGGACAAUGGGGGCAACCCUGAUCCAGCGACGCCGCGUGUGUGAAGAAGGCCUGCGGGUUGUAAAGCACUUUUUAGUGGGGAUGAAAAGCUCAGGGCUAAUACCGCUGAGUCUUGACCUAACCCACAGAAAAAGCACCGGCUAACUCUGUGCCAGCAGCCGCGGUAAUACAGAGGGUGCGAGCGUUAAUCGGAAUUACUGGGCGUAAAGCGUGCGUAGACGGUUUUGUAAGUCGGAUGUGAAAUCCCCGGGCUCAACCUGGGAAUUGCAUUCGAGACUGCAAAGGCUUGGGUGCGGAAGAGGAAAGCGGAAUUUUCCGGUGUAGCGGUGAAAUGCGUAGAUAUCGGAAGGAACAUCAGUGGCGAAAGCGGCUUCCUGGUCCAGCACCGACGUUCAGGCACGAAAAGCGUGGGGAGCAAACAGGAUUAGAUACCCUCGUAGUCC